rnacentral:lncRNA from 1 species
GUGUAUCUCAACAGAGUUGUUAGACUUAACUUUAUUUGUGUUUUAGCUGAGUUAGUUAGUUUGUUAAGAGAUUGAUUGGGUUGCAAGAAAUCUCAAUCUAUAAAUAGUGAGGUACUCUAUUAUUGAUUGUAACAAUUUGAAAGUGAAUAAUUGUAGUCUUCAUUGUUUAAAAGGAGAGUGAAACUCUUCAGAAUUUCUAAACUCUUUUUCUUCUUUCUUCUCUCGAUAAAUC